GGGACUAGAAAAAAAUAUUACUUUAGUGAGGAUAUUACUUUAUCAAUUAUUACUUAAUCGAAGUUCAACUGUAGUUAACUAAUUUAAUCCUUCUAUUAUAUGGGGUGUGUUUCAAUGUAUUAACGGUAUGUAAUAUAUCAUUUUGUUAGUCCCAAGUUGAUAUAGUAGGGGUGAAUACGUCAACGCAAAAUUAUUGGUUUUUAAUUUGAUUUACGGAAUUAUUCGUUUUAUGUUCAUUUUUAAUCAUAAUUAAAUGACACGACAAGUUCCGAGAAUAAUCAUAUUGACUAAGUCUUCAAGGGGUGCUACAAAUCCAACUAUUACUUCGGCUACAGACAACAAUCACUACUCACUAAUACGCUCAACAAACCUUUCAAUCUAUUUCGACUAUUCGGUGUAGAGUGUUAAGGUGGUAGUGUGCACAAUUAUAAUGUGUGUUGUUAGUUUGAAAAAAAAUUACUUGUCUCUAUUUAGAGUUCAUUUCCAACCAUGGUUAGCUGCCGCAAUUUAUUCGAGAGUUUGUUCCACAAUUAGUUUCAGAGUUCAUUCCACUAUUAGUUCCCGAGUUCAUUCUCGAAUUCGUUUCACAAUUAGUUCCUAAGUUCAGUCGCGAGUUCAUUUCACAAAUAGUUUCUAAGUUCAUUUAUGAGUUCGUUCUUUUUAUGCAUAUACAUAUAUUGCUGAUUGAACAUUCUCCAUUUUGACUUAGCUAAUUAAUUCCUUAAAGAAGUUAGCACCAUCACAGGUAAGUGUAUUACAGUCUCUAUGUCGCAAACUCUCUAAUUUCUUUAGUAGAAAAACUUUCAUGUUGAGUUUGCGCCUCUAGUUAUACACAGAUCGAGUAAAGGCGUAGACUGCCUUCUAUGAUUAGUCAAAAUAGAACUCAAGAUGAGUUUAUGCCACCGUGAAUACCCUAUUUCAUUUUAAGGCGCGGACUGGCUGUUAAUUAGACAAAAUUUCACACUGGAUGAGUUGGUGCUUACCAGUGGAACAUAGUGGAGGCGUAAACUCCUUUUCCCCUUAGCCAAAAAUGGAAGUUACUCUCAACUUUUGUGUACAUAAAUGUAUAUUUAUUAAUAAUAAUUCCUUUAAAUUUGGAAAUUACCCAUUCAUUUAAAAUAAAUAUAUAAACAUAUAUUUUUAUUCUCUAUAAUUCCUUUUGGUUGCAUAUUGACUUCCUAAACUUGUAAAUGCUGCAAUAUUGACUUGAUCAUUUUUCCAUUGAAUAAAUACGAUGAACCGCUUUGUACGUGUUGACGUUUGAUGCAUUAAUUUGAUUCCUUAACGACUAAUACUGAAACUGAAAUUUAUACCAACUUUGAUAAAUAAUCAUGAUCAGUCCAUUUCAGGUUAGAAAUGCUUUGUUUUUUUAUAAAUAAUUAGAUGGUCGAUACUGGAUUACACUGAAACUUGAAUCUAUAGAUAAAUGUUGUUCCCUG
rnacentral:lncRNA from 1 species